rnacentral:rRNA from 1 species
AGCGAACGCUGGCGGCAGGCCUAACACAUGCAAGUCGAACGGACCUUUCGGGGUUAGUGGCGGACGGGUGAGUAACACGUGGGAACGUGCCUUUAGGUUCGGAAUAGCUCCUGGAAACGGGUGGUAAUGCCGAAUGUGCCCUCGGGGGAAAGAUUUAUCGCCUUUAGAGCGGCCCGCGUCUGAUUAGCUAGUUGGUGAGGUAAUGGCUCACCAAGGCGACGAUCAGUAGCUGGUCUGAGAGGAUGACCUGCCACAUUGGGACUGAGACACGGCCCAAACUCCUACGGGAGGCAGCAGUGGGGAAUCUUGCGCAAUGGGCGAAAGCCUGACGCAGCCAUGCCGCGUGGAUGAUGAAGGUCUUAGGAUUGUAAAAUCCUUUCACCGGUGAAGAUAAUGACUGUAGCCGGAGAAGAAGCCCCGGCUAACUUCGUGCCAGCCGCCGCAGUAAGAC